CGCUGGCGAGGGGCCUGGGCGGUGUCAGCAGCAGCAGCAGCGCGGUCAGCGCGCAGAGCGAGCCCGAGGGGCCUCGGACGCGGGCGACGCCGCUGUGCAGGACUUGCAUCGCGGCCGGGGAGGAAACUCAAGUUUGGGGCUGAUGUUGAGGGAAAUUCCCUGGUCUCCAGGAUGGGGGUUGGGAGAAAUGCAGUCCCUCCGUGGGGUUGUCCGGACUUGAAAGAACUUGCUCUCCUCCCCGCAGGCAGGUUCUUCCAGGUUCCCUGAAUUACCUUCUGACCCUCUGCACCUCAGCCAACCUUCUGGACCGGGAUGGAAGUGUCUCUACUCCCACUUGAAGUCAGUGACCCCAACAGGCUCCCAAGUCGAGGCUGCUUACUGGAAAUUCUAGACUCCUACUUUUGCAAGUGUGUGAGCUUUAAGCAAUUUAACAAACAAAUCUAAAUCGCCCAGCAAAUUGCCCUGGAAGACGCUCUCUGGCGCCGGGCAGUUCAAUAUCACGUUGAGUUAGAAGAGGUCCUGGUCUUCCGUGGGGGAGGAGGGCCCCAGAGCCCAGCCUGCCCAGUUCUGACUCCUCAGCCAGGGGUGUAUUUGGCAGGAUUUGGAGAAGUUGUGGGAGGCAGAAGAGAUUGAGGGGCUCAUCUGGAAGUCUGGUCUGAGGGUUGAAUCAAUUUGGCAGCAAGACACCUCUGGUUUUCCUUUAAUCUUCGUGUAGCCCCCACAUGCUGCAGGAGCCAUCCAGUUCCAUGACUACUGGAGACCAAGGCUGCUUCCACAGGCCUGCUGUGGUCCCCGCUGACCCAGAACUGCCACCUGGGAUGGAAGGCAAGGUGGCUCCCAGUGUCUGCUCCCUCCCUCCCUUCCCCUGUAACCUGGGAAGUCUCAGCUCCAGGCCCCCCUAUCUAACUCCAGGGCAGGCUGGCUGAGCUCCUGGAAUGGCCCACAGGCUUCCUUCCAUGCAAAUCCAGCUACACCCUGGACUGUCCUCGGGACCCUUGUCCUUGUGGUAAGGGGGCUAAGGUAACCUGCAAACAUGAGGGUGACAACCAAUCAGUGAAGAAAGGGAACACUUCCUCCUGUCCUGUGACAGGGUGAAUUCUAUCAACUCCCUCACCCCUCACCUCCACAGCUGAGCAAGAAAGCGGUGUCUCCAUCUUUAAGGCUGCAUAAUAUUCCAUGGUGUACAUAUACCGCAAUUUAU